rnacentral:misc_RNA from 1 species
UUUUUAUUUUUAUUUUUUUUAAAUUUUGUUUCGUUUUGUUUCAUUGUGUGCUUACCAUCUUAUCCACAUACUUAUACAACUGCCCAUUUCAUUUCUACUUUGCUCAUCUAGUAAGUGUGGUGCUUUUCUUCACUGAAUAUGUUGUUUUGUAAAUAUAGACAUUAUCUAGUGUUAGUGUAAGAUAAUAUCUAUUGGUAAUUUUUCAACAGCACUUCAAGCCAUAUGAAAAUGUGCUCGCUACUUGUGUGAUUUCACUUGUUUUUAUAAUCGACAAAGGUCACUUAUAAUUUUAUUUAUUUUCUUUUUUUCUUUUUUU